ensembl:lncRNA
AGUCCUAUGCAUUGACACUUUGCACAAUGCCUUGCAACCACUCAACAACAGGUGUUCUAUUUCAAAAAUCGAUGACUGGCCUAAGAAACCGAUUCUAAUUUGACUUGCACUCAACACUCGAAUGCCUGGCGAUCAUCUUGGCACAUGAGCACGUGACUGACACUCUAAGCAUUUGAGGUUGCAUUUUUGCCUCCAUAAGCCAUAAAGGCUGAUGCUUACCAAACCACCUAGGCACAUUCUGAUUUGGAGGUAUAACUAAGACAUCACCAGCCCUGAAGUCGGCAAUAAUCUGUGUUUCUAGGUGUUGCCAAAACCAUCCUAAGAUCCAGCCUUUCCUGAUGUUAUCUGAAUUACUAUAUUUGUCUAACCAUGAGAAGAAUAACCAAAGAAUAAUCCCAAUCAACUGAGAAGGACGAAGAGAAAGGAGUGGGUAACUGGAGGAGGAAGAACCUGAAGCUGAGCAUACAUAAAAAGAAAGCAUGAUUUUAAAAGACAAACUCUAGUCAUCAGGACCCAUGAACAAAUCAGUUUUGAGAGGAAACCCAGUCUAAUCAUGAGAAAAACAGCAGCCAAAUCCCCGUUGACAGACAUCCUACAAAAUAUCUAAUAGAAGACUCUUGAAAACUACCAUGAUCAUCAAAAACAAGGAAAAUUUGAGAAACUCAGUCAAGAGGAGCUUAAGGAGACAUGACAACAAAACGUAUUAUGGUAGUCUGCAACAGAAAAAAAAAGACAGGUACAAAUUAAAGAAAUCUGAAUAAGGCAUUUGUCAAUUAGUAAGCAACACCCUGCAAGAAGUUAACAUGAAUAGAAAGCUGUGUGCAAAGCCCUAGGUAAGCACAGCUUGCAAGAGUCUCACGAUUCAAGGGAGAAUUAACCUUGGAGUACAUGGUCUGAAAGGCAUUAGGACUUCACGUACUAUGACUGAAGAAAAUGGAAGUAUGAGAGAAGGAAAAGAAAGGGAUGCCAGUCUAUCAAGAUGUGAGUUGUGUAAUUCAACGUGACUUUUUCCUGUAUCGUUAAGCUGUGGAGUUAAGUAUGGGGCAGCUAUCCCUGAAGCAAUUUACAUAAAAAUAACUGAUGCACAAGGAGCUGAAGAAGCAUGCAAUAAGUCACCACUUAUUACUCCAGCUUCACCUCAGUUAGAAUAUAUAUGUAUCAAGUACAUCGAAGGGAAAAAUAAGGAGUACAGAUUGAAAAUAUAUGGAAGUGGAGGCAUGAGAUGAUGCAAGCCUGAAACACUGAAAUGUUAUUGAGGAUGAACACAAUGGUAUACAUGUUAGGAAUAACAUAAACAUAAUCAAAAAGCUCCGCACAAUCUUCUCUGUAAACACUCUGCCUCUCCUUUUUGCUACAACACCACGGGAUUCAUCUGGUGAAAGUAUCUCCUGGAUGGACCAUGUUGCAACACCUCAAUUUGAAUACUACGCUCAGCUGGACCUGCUAACUGAAGGCAGAUGGCAAAAUGUUUCAUAUGCGAAUCCUUUAAUUUAUAUUUUAUUCAGGCUGCUUAUUGAAGUUAGUUAAAAUUUACUUUUGCAUUAUAAUAAAACUAUCUUAAAACAAUAACCAAUGUGUGGAAAGAAAAGUUACCUCUAUUUUUAAACAAUUUCUAAG